rnacentral:lncRNA from 1 species
CUCUGGCUGCAAACAACAUCCAGAACGCACAGAGACACAGAUCGCGAGCGAGCGCGCACCCGUUAAUCGCUUCAUCUUUUUGCAUUCCACCUAGAGAGCCUUUCGCGUCCACGAACCGAACCAACAAUGGCCGCCGUGGAGGAUGAGACGCUGAGGGCGUUCGAAGAGGAGGACGACGCCAUGAUGAAUGAGCCGGACGGCGAGCCCAUGGACGACGAGGAGGAGGCCGACUCCCCGGCGACGAUGAAGGUCGGCGAGGAGAAGGAGAUCGGGAAGCAGGGGCUGAAGAAGAAGCUCGUCAAGG